UGGGAUGUUCAGCUCAUAUAC
ensembl:piRNA 21ur-1843 ncRNA